rnacentral:rRNA from 1 species
AUUGAACGCUGGCGGCAUGCCUUACACAUGCAAGUCGAACGGCAGCACGGGAGCAAUCCUGGUGGCGAGUGGCGAACGGGUGAGUAAUAUAUCGGAACGUGCCUAGUCGUGGGGGAUAACGUAGCGAAAGCUACGCUAAUACCGCAUACGAUCUAUGGAUGAAAGCGGGGGAUCGCAAGACCUCGCGCGAUUGGAGCGGCCGAUAUCAGAUUAGGUAGUUGGUGAGGUAAAGGCUCACCAAGCCGACGAUCUGUAGCUGGUCUGAGAGGACGACCAGCCACACUGGGACUGAGACACGGCCCAGACUCCUACGGGAGGCAGCAGUGGGGAAUUUUGGACAAUGGGCGCAAGCCUGAUCCAGCAAUGCCGCGUGCAGGAUGAAGGCCUUCGGGUUGUAAACUGCUUUUGUACGGAACGAAACGGUGAGCUCUAAUACAGUUUGCUAAUGACGGUACCGUAAGAAUAAGCACCGGCUAACUACGUG